UCCCUUACCCUGACCCUAACCUUCCAACCGUUGAUUCCUGCAGCAAUCUUCCCUAAGGGAGACACCCCGGCUGUAGGCUCACUUCCUCUCCCAAGUCCCAUUCCUUUCACAAGAGUCAAAUCCCUACAGUGGAUUCCUGGACCGUUUUUUCUAAAAGAAGAUCCCAGUCCUCUGGCUUGCCCCUCCCGUCGUGACUCCCAUAUUUGAUGGGUCUGAAUGAAAAUCUGAUGAAACAGAUGUUACUUGAAGCUGAGUGACUUUCUCAGGGUCAAGCAAAUAAGUAAAUGGAGGAGCCAGAAUUAUACCCCAGGAUCCCCAUCACAAGGAGGGGAGGGCUACCAUCCCAGCUGCAAACUCUCAUUCAAGGUUUAUGCUGCAGCCAGCAGUGUCCUUGGAGUCUAGUUCAAAGCUGAAGAGAGUGAACCAUGGAACUGGGAGCCAUUGGCGGAGAGGCUGGCCUGAAGGAAGGGAAGUGUUUCAGCCAGAAUGUACUGACGCACAACCAGGAAACCACAAGACUG
ensembl:lncRNA GORAB-AS1 GORAB antisense RNA 1